rnacentral:rRNA from 1 species
UACGAAGGUGGCAAGCGUUGUUCGGAUUUACUGGGCGUACAGGGAGCGUAGGCGGUUGGAUAAGCCCUCCGUGAAAUCUCCAGGCUUAACCUGGAAAGUGCAGAGGGGACUGUUCAGCUAGAGGAUGGGAGAGGAGCGCGGAAUUCCCGGUGUAGCGGUGAAAUGCGUAGAGAUCGGGGAGGAAGGCCGGUGGCGAAGGCGGCGCUCUGGGACCGAUACUGACGCUGAGGCGCGAAAGCGUGGGGAGCAAACAGG